GAACAGCUCUGACCUGUAUGGUGAUCGAAACAGGAGAGGAGACACACCUGGUCCAACAAGGUGACAGACGAACAAGACGAGCCGCCACAGGAGCCUGAAGCAGGAAAUCUGAGUAUCUGUCUUCGGAUGAAACUCCUUCAGGUCGUGCAGUUGUCUGUUGAUUUUGGUUUCACAUUUGUUUUAACACAAUAAAACCUUUUUUUGAAUUACA